CCUACGGGAGGCAGCAGUGAGGAAUAUUGGUCAAUGGACGAGAGUCUGAACCAGCCAAGUAGCGUGAAGGAUGACUGCCCUACGGGUUGUAAACUUCUUUUAUAUGGGAAUAAAACACGGUAUGCAUACCCUCUUGUAUGUACCCUAUGAAUAAGGAUCGGCUAACUCCGUGCCAGCAGCCGCGGUAAUACGGAGGAUUCGAGCGUUAUCCGGAUUUAUUGGGUUUAAAGGGUGCGUAGGCGGGUGGGUAAGUUAGAGGUGAAAUGUCGGGGCUUAACCCCGUGCCUGCCGUUGAUACUGGUAGACUAGAGAGCGGAUGAAGCAGGCGGAAUGAGUAGUGUAGCGGUGAAAUGCUUAGAUAUUACGCAGAACACCGAUUGCGAAGGCAGCUUGCUAAGCCGCAUCUGACGCUGAUGCACGAAAGCGUGGGUAGCGAACAGGAUUAGAUACCCUUGUAGUC
rnacentral:rRNA from 1 species